GCGCGUAGCAAUACGAGCGGCGGACGGGUGAGUAACACGUAAACAAUCUGCCCUAAAGCGGGGAAUAACUAUCCCAACGGAUAGCUAAUACCGCAUAAUGAUGGAGACGGCAUCGUCUCUUCUCAAAAGGCUUCGGCCACUUUAGGAUGAGUUUGCGGCCCAUUAGCUUGUUGGCGGGGUAACGGCCCACCAAGGCUACGAUGGGUAUCCGGCCUGAGAGGGUGUACGGACACAUUGGGACUGAGAUACGGCCCAGACUCCUACGGGAGGCAGCAGUAGGGAAUUUUGCGCAAUGGGGGAAACCCUGACGCAGCAACGCCAUGUGAGGGAUGAAGCAUUUCGGUGUGUAAACCUCUGUCAGCAGGGAAUAAAAGGCUUCUUCGGAGGCAUUUGAAUGUACCUGCAAAGGAAGCCCCGGCUAACUUCGUGCCAGCAGCCGCGGUAAUACGAGGGGGGCUAGUGUUGUUCGGAAUCACUGGGCGUAAAGGGAGCGUAGGCGGCUCUUAAGUUAGGUGUUUAAUCCCGGGGCCCAACCCCGGACAGGCACUUAAAACUGGGAGUCUUGAAUAGUGGAGAGGUCAGUGGAAUUGGGGGUGUAGCGGUGGAAUGCGUAGAGAUCC
rnacentral:rRNA from 1 species